UACGAGGGGGGGCUAGCGUUGCUCGGAAUGACUGGGCGUAAAGGGCGCGUAGGCGGUUUGGCUAGUUAGACGUGAAAUUCCUGGGCUCAACCUGGGGACUGCGUUUAAUACAUCCAGACUUGAGUGUGGAAGAGGGUCGUGGAAUUCCCAGUGUAGAGGUGAAAUUCGUAGAUAUUGGGAAGAACACCGGUGGCGAAGGCGGCGACCUGGUCCAUUACUGACGCUGAGGCGCGACAGCGUGGGGAGCAAACAGG
rnacentral:rRNA from 1 species